rnacentral:lncRNA from 1 species
UCAAAGUCUACAGGAAUUAAACCAAUCUUAUAAAGGAAGAGAAAAAAGAUUGAUGAGAGAGAAAGUAGAGAGAUGUUCUCCACCACCCCUUUUGAAUCUUGAUAUUCUUGGAUCAAUUCUUCCCCUUCUUCAUUCUCUUCUUCAAUUUCUUCUCCUUUCUUUUUCUUCUUCCCCCUCCAUCUCCAUCUUCAAUGGCUUUAAUUCCGGACGACAUUCUUGCAAUUUGCCCACAAGUAUGUGAAAUCAGAAACGUAGGUUUUCUUUCAAAUUUCCAAUGUCAAACAAUUAGGAACAACAUGAUUGUUCAGAGCACGAAUUGCGCAACAGAAAAUCUACAAGAAAGCACUCAAUUGAACAAGGGUGUGGAUAAGCCUAAUUAUGUGGCGGCGACUACAUCUUCCACGACGGUUGGGUCGGGUUUGCGCCUUGGUGGGGCGGCAUCCGCGGGUCUGGUACGGAACGCGCUGCAGUUCCAAGCGGCUACGGUGCAAAGGAGUGAUGCAGCGGCGCAG